rnacentral:rRNA from 1 species
AGACGCACUCGUGUCAGCAGCCGCGGUAAUACGGAGGGGGCUAGCGUUGUUCGGAAUUACUGGGCGUAAAGCGUACGUAGGCGGCUUUGUAGUUAGAGGUGAAGCCGGGCUCACCCGGAUGCUUAGACUGCAUCGCUUGAAUCGCGGAGAGGUGAGUGGAAUUCCGAGUGUAGAGGUGAAAUUCGUAGAUAUUCGGAAGAACACCAGUGGCGAAGGCGGCUCACUGGACGCGUAUUGACGCUGAGGUACGAAAGCGUGGGGAGCAAACAGGAUUAGAUACCCUGGUAGUCCACGCCGUAAACGAUGAUAACUAGCUGUCCGGGCACUUGGGUGCC